AACGAACGCUGGCGGCAGGCUUAACACGUGCAAGUCGAGCGCCCCGCAAGGGGAGCGGCAGACGGGUGAGUAACGCGUGGGAAUCUACCCAUCUCUACGGAAUAACGCAUGGAAACGUGUGCUAAUACCGUAUACGUCCUUCGGGAGAAAGAUUUAUCGGAGAUGGAUGAGCCCGCGUUGGAUUAGCUAGUUGGUGGGGUAAAGGCCUACCAAGGCGACGAUCCAUAGCUGGUCUGAGAGGAUGAUCAGCCACACUGGGGCUGAGACACGGCCCAGACUCCUACGGGAGGCAGCAGUGGGGAAUAUUGGACAAUGGGCGCAAGCCUGAUCCAGCCAUGCCGCGUGAGUGAUGAAGGCCCUAGGGUUGUAAAGCUCUUUCACCGGUGAAGAUAAUGACGGUAACCGGAAAAGAAGCCCCGGCUAACUUCGUGCCAGCAGCCGCCGUAACAC
rnacentral:rRNA from 1 species